rnacentral:rRNA from 1 species
UACGAAGGGGGCUAGCGUUGCUCGGAAUCACUGGGCGUAAAGCGCACGUAGGCGGAUCUUUAAGUCAGGGGUGAAAUCCUGGAGCUCAACUCCAGAACUGCCUUUGAUACUGGGGAUCUCGAGUCCGGGAGAGGUGAGUGGAACUGCGAGUGUAGAGGUGAAAUUCGUAGAUAUCAGGAGGAACACCGAUGGCGAAGGCAGCUCGCUGGGACGGUACUGACGCUGAGACGCGAAAGCGUGGGGAGCAAACAGG